rnacentral:rRNA from 1 species
GCCGGAGGAUGCAAUCGUUAUCCGGAAUGAUUGGGCGUAAAGCGUUCGCAGGUGGCUGUUCAAGUCUGCUGUCAAAGACCGGGGCUUAACCCUAGAAAGGCAGUGGAAACUGAACGGCUGGAGUGCAGUAGGGGUAGAGGGAAUUCCCAGUGUAGCGGUGAAAUGCGUAGAGAUUGGGAAGAACACCGGUGGCGAAAGCGCUCUGCUGGACUGCAACUGACACUGAGGGACGAAAGCUAGGGGAGAGAAAGGG